rnacentral:lncRNA from 1 species
CUAUGGUACUACAAAAGUUAUCUGGAUGCAGGCGAGAUCGGUUUAGGUCCUGCGGCAAUGCCGCUUGUGCCCCUCAACGACUGCCCCCGAAAUGCUUACUAUAUAGAUGGCGUUUUUGCCUUGCCGGAUGGAAAAGCCAUUGUCCAACCUAACAUGAUAUGCUUGUUUGAACGCUACGCAGGCGAUGUCAGCUGGCGACAUUCUGAGAUUCUUAUCCCCAGUGCUGAUGUAUGUCCCUUACUGUCAUGAUUUUUUAUUUUGCUUUGAAUUAGACGUUCACCGGAUGGUUUGGACCGGAGGAAGAAGGACGUCGAAUCCUAAAAGUCCAAUGUUUCACGUCACAAGACACUCCUAAUUAUUUCAUGAGACCCAUUGAAGGUCUUUAUGCAACGGUCGAUAUGGACAAACUAGAGGUUAUCAAGAUCGUCGAUAAAGGCAUGGUUCCUAUUCCCAAAGCUGCCGGUACAGAAUACCGGUAUAAUGUUCAGAAUAAGCCGGUACAUAUGGAUCGAAUCAACCCCAUUUCGAUUGAGCAGCCGGAGGGUCCUAGUUUCCUGGUCGAAGAUGGACAUUUGGUUAAGUGGGCUAAUUGGGUUUUUCAUGUUAAAGCUGACCACCGAGCCGGUAUAAUCAUCUCUCAGGCCACAGUUCGUGACUCCGAGACAGGUAUAUAACACCUUAACUCGAAGUCUUGAAUAUUCACUUGUUUAAAAAUGAUUUUAAAAUAUAUUUUUGAUGUUUUCUACACUUUUUAGUUUAAAUAACAAACUGUUUAAGAAAAAUAAAAUGUAUCUAUUGAAUUAGUACUAGUUUAAGAAGAUGAGAAAUAGGUAUUCACAAAAAUGAUGUAUAUAAUCAAAUUUUAAUAUGUUUUCUUAAUAUUUUUUAAAGCACAAAAUAUAUUUUCCAAACACAUAAAGUAUUAUAUACAUAACAAUUGUGAUGGUUAAAAGAGAAGCCAAAUUCUUGAAUCUUGAAUUCUUGAUGUUUACUAAUUAAUGUGGAGAGAGCAGGUGAACCAAGAAGUGUGAUGUACAAAGGAUUUCCAUCAGAGUUGUUCGUACCAUACAUGGACCCUGGAGAACUAUGGUACUACAAAAGUUAUCUGGAUGCAGGCGAGAUCGGUUUAGGUCCUGCGGCAAUGCCGCUUGUGCCCCUCAACGACUGCCCCCGAAAUGCUUACUAUAUAGAUGGCGUUUUUGCCUUGCCGGAUGGAAAAGCCAUUGUCCAACCUAACAUGAUAUGCUUGUUUGAACGCUACGCAGGCGAUGUCAGCUGGCGACAUUCUGAGAUUCUUAUCCCCAAUGCUGAUGUAUGUCCCUUCACUACAAGAAAACAGGUGAAAUCCGACGGCCAAUUUCGUCAGAACUUCGUUGGAGUUCUGUCGGAAUCCGAACGGUCAAAAAUGUCCGUCGGAAUAUAUCCGUUCGGAGCUCAUAACAGUCAAAAUAUCCGUCGGAUAUUUCCGACAAUCAGAAAUUUCUGACGAAAAACCGACGAACAAGAUAUUAUAUGUUUUAUCUCGUCGAUGGAAACCGACGAAACUAUCGUCCGUCGGAUUGUCCAUCGGAAUGUAGCAUGUUUUCUUGUAGUGCUUACUGUCCUGAUUUUUUAUUUUACUUUGAAUAAGAAUCGAUUCCUGAUUUGUCGACGUCUUAACAGA